rnacentral:lncRNA from 1 species
GUGUGUGUUUUUUUUUGUUGUUUGGCUUUUUUGAAUUUGAUUUGGGCUAAAAUCGAUAUUGUCCGGUCAGACUUUGGUUUGGAGACAUGUAACGAUGACAAAGUAAAAAUUUUAGGUUUAGAUUUUUAUGAAAACUCAUGUGGAGGAAAAAAUUUAUUACCAUAUAUAGAAUGGUUGGAUCAUAACAGUACAACAAAAUCAUAUUUAAUUACUUUAACAAGUGCAAUAAAACCAACAAUAACUGUUCAUUUUUUAGCAUGGAAUAUACCUGCAUUUUUAAAUACAAUAAGUGAUUCAACAAGAUUUCAAGAUAUUGGAGCAGUUGUAGGGUUAAAUUCUUAUAAUAAGAGAAAUUACAUAGGACCUUGUUUUAAAAAUAUAUAUAAUAAUACAAGUGAAUGUAUGAAAUUCACUUUAUAUUCAUUAAAUGUCGAACAUAUAGACUUGUCAGAAGAUGCAGAUUAUUAUGAAGUGAUGGCAUACCUUAAGAGUAUGAGUAGAGUGGAUGGCAUAGUUAUUGACCAGUUAUCUUUAUAUUCUAUUUUCACUUUUAAAUGAUUUGUAACGUUUAAAAAAAAAAAAAAAUACUCGAAAAACUAUUGUAAAAAAUGUUGAAAAAAAUCGUUGAAAAAUCUAUUGUAAAAGCUAUUUUUGUGAAUUAUAAAAAUGCAAUUACGCGAGUAUUAAUUUUUUUUUUUUUUUUUUUUUUUUUACUAAUUUAAAUCAAAUUUACAAAUUAAAAAAAAAAAAAUAAAAUAAUAAUAAUAAUAAUAAUAAUAAAUAAA